CUCAGAAAGAAACGGCAUGGUAUCCCCAUUCAUGCCGCCAAGCGGCAGGGGAUAAAUGGGAAUGCGGUGAGGGUGACCCAAUCAGGGGCCUGAUGCCGCAGCCGCCCCCGCGACUGUAAGCGGUGAGUGGAUGUCGAAUACCACUGGAGCGUUGGGAAACCAACAAUCUGGGAAGGUGACAUUGCACUUUGACCCGCGAGCCAGGAGACCAGCCUUGCAGCAACGUAACCG
rnacentral:ncRNA from 2 species